rnacentral:lncRNA from 1 species
GGUAUAUCAGCCAAGAUGCGAAGAAGUGGACUAGUUGGGUAAGCAUGGCAUCCGAUUUCAUGGAGCGUUUCAGGUUCAACACUGAGAACGCGCCGGACGUGAUCUAUAUUCAGAAUUUGAAGAAGAAGCCCACUAAAACCUUUCGUUCGUGCUCAGGCCGGCUUUGGAAGAAGAACAAAUGAACAUAUUUUUUGUUCGUGCGCAGGUCCCACAGUAUUACGAGAGAUUGAUGCUGAUAGAGGGGCAGAAGCUCUUUGAUAUCAUCAAACUGGGAGAAAUAACUGAAGAGGGGAUAAAAAAUGGUAUGGUUACUAACCUUGAGGCACUACAGGCCA